GAUUAACGCUGGCGGCAUGCCUAAUACAUGCAAAUCGAACGAAGCACUUGUGCUUAGUGGUGAACGGGUGAGUAACACGUAUCCAAUCUACCCUUAGGUUGGGGAUAACUGGUCGAAAGACUAGCUAAUACCGAAUAUCAAUACUCCUAUCGCAUGAGAAAGUAUUGAAAGAUCCUUUUGGAUCGCCUUUGGAUGAGGGUGCGGCAUAUCAGAUAGUUGGUGAGGUAACGGCUCACCAAGUCAAUGACGUGUAGCUGUACUGAGAGGUAAAACAGCCACAAUGGGACUGAGACACGGCCCAUACUCCUACGGGAGGCAGCAGUAGGGAAUUUUUCACAAUGGGCGAAAGCCUGAUGGAGCAAUGCCGCGUGAAUGAUGAAGGUCUUACAGAUUGUAAAAUUCUUUUAUUUGGGAAGAUAAUGACGGUACCAGCAGAAGAAGCCCCGGCUAACUCCGUGCCAGCAGCCGCAGUAACAC
rnacentral:rRNA from 1 species